rnacentral:lncRNA from 1 species
AAAGAAUGUCUAUAAAGAUAAUCAACAGAAUUCGAGUCUAGCCUAAAAUCAGUAAUAAUGUCGUCUUGCAUCUGCAAGUUUUUAUGUUUUGUAAUCAGUAAACCCUUUUUAAAACCAGUACAUUUCCAUGUUGUUGGAUAUCAAGUCUAUGGGUAUCAUCUAGGAAAGCCAUUAGGUAACUAAUUAAUGGCAUCAGUCUUCAAUAAUUACAACCAGGUGUAGGCCUAAUUCAGACUUCUUAUAUGAGAAAUAUGUGAAAAAUCAGCCUGCUUUCACAUUUAAGUUUAAUAAAGACCUAACCAGUACUUGUAAGCUAUGCUAAACAACUUGCUGCUUUGAAUAAGGAGGCCUAUCUGAGCCUUUAUUUGCUAUGUGUUCCCCUUUUACCAUUGUAUGUGUUUUUGUUUGUCGCACUAGCCUUU